rnacentral:misc_RNA from 1 species
UGAGAUAAAGUUAAUUUUGGGCUAAUCCAUAUAGACAAUGUAAUUUGCUAUCAGAAAAUCCAAACAUUAAAAGGAGAAUAUCAAAAGGAAAAGGAAACAUUGCAAAAAGCAUCCUAAAAAUGGAGAAUCAUUUACAUAAGGUCUCCUAAUCAAGCGAGUAUACGUACCAGCUUACCCUCGAGAAGCUGAAUCAUUCUUGGGAAGAGCAACAUAGUUUAUUGGUGUUACGUUGAGAACCUUGCUCUCUCUACGUUCCUUGCCGGAAGAG